UACGUAGGGGGCAAGCGUUGUCCGGAUUUAUUGGGCGUAAAGAGCGUGUAGGCGGUUAGGUAGGUCCGUUGUGAAAACUCGAGGCUCAACCUCGAGACGCCGAUGGAAACCAUCUAACUAGAGUCCGGAAGAGGAGAGUGGAAUUCCUGGUGUAGCGGUGAAAUGCGCAGAUAUCAGGAAGAACACCCGCGGCUAAGGCGGCUCUCUAGUACGGUACUGACGCUGAGACGCGAAAGCGUGGGGAGCGAACAGG
rnacentral:rRNA from 1 species